GACGAACGCUGGCGGCGUGCUUAACACAUGCAAGUCGAGCGGUAAGGCCCUUUCGGGGGUACGACGAGCGGCGAACGGGUGAGUAACACGUGGGUGACCUGCCCUCAGCUCUGGGAUAAGCCCGGGAAACUGGGUCUAAUACCGGAUAUGACUCCAUGACGCAUGUUGUGGGGUGGAAAGCCUUGUGCGGCUGAGGAUGGGCCCGCGGCCUAUCAGCUUGUUGGUGGGGUGAUGGCCACCAAGGCGACGACGGGUAGCCGGCCUGAGAGGGCGACCGC
rnacentral:rRNA from 1 species